GACGAACGCUGGCGGCGUGCUUAACACAUGCAAGUCGAACGGAAAGGCCCUGCUUUUGUGGGGUGCUCGAGUGGCGAACGGGUGAGUAACACGUGAGUAACCUGCCCUUGACUUUGGGAUAACUUCAGGAAACUGGGGCUAAUACCGGAUAGGAGCUCCUGCUGCAUGGUGGGGGUUGGAAAGUUUCGGCGGUUGGGGAUGGACUCGCGGCUUAUCAGCUUGUUGGUGGGGUAGUGGCUUACCAAGGCUUUGACGGGUCGCCGGCCGGAGAGGGUGACCGGCCAAAUUGGGACGGAGAUACGGCCCAGACUCCUACGGGAGGAAGCAGUGGGGAAUAUGGCACAAGGGGCGGAAGCCGGAUGCAGCAACGCCGCGUGCGGGAUGACGGCCUUCGGGUUGUAAACCGCUUUCGCCUGUGACGAAGCGUGAGUGACGGUAAUGGGUAAAGAAGCACCGGCUAACUACGUG
rnacentral:rRNA from 1 species